CUCUCUCUCAAAUCCUCCACUCCACCCACUAUGGAUGCCAUGCUCUUCCACACCGCCGCCGCACCGCCGCCGCCUCAACCGCCGCCGCAACCGCCGUCCAUGGCCAACAAGCGGCCCUGCCCCUCGUCGCCGCCGCAGCCGCAGCCGGCGGCGUCCUCGUCGUCGCCGCCGUCGUCGUCGGCCUUCGGCCAAAUCGACCACCUGUUCGACGCCUUCCUCUCCCUCGCCGACUCCUCCUCCCGCUCCCACUCCAUCGACCUCGCCUUCGACCGGCUCCUCGACGCGAGAGCCUCCGAUCGGGACGAGGCUCUGCUCAUCGACCGCGCCCUGCGGCUGGGCUCCGCCAUCACCGAGGCCGCCAGGCGCUCCGCGAGGAAGCGCGCCGCCAAGCACAAUUCCGUCGCGUGGGCUCUCCCUCCAGAUCUCACCAUCAAGGUUUUCUCCAUGCUUGAUUCACAAAGCCUAUGCUACGCUGCAGCAACUUGUUCGCUGUUUAACAAGUGCGCCAUGGAUCCUUUAUGCUAUACCAAUAUUGACUUGACAACAGUUGUCCCGAAGGUUAAUAAUGCUGUUGUGUCUACAAUGAUUCAAAGAGCCGGAAGAGCCCUUCAGUCAUUGAAGCUUGGUAUAGUCCCAGGCCCAACCAUGUCACCUGGAUCUUCUCAACCGUUAGUAUAUACAAUAAGGAGUUCCGUUGAUGUCUCCAACUUUUCAUGGAAUGAUAAGAAGACCAGACAAGGGAAAGAGUCGCCCAUCUUGACCAGGACAUGCUUAAGCCCUUUAAGUGCUGAUGGCAGUGCUGCUGGGAUAUUGUUGAGAAGAUUGCACUUGUACAACAUUGAAAGAAUGGAUAGUGCAUCACUUUGUAUGGCUUUGUCAGUAUGCCCAUCUCUAGUUGAUCUGGAAAUCGUUGGCCUACAUGUUGAAUUGAGACAAUUGUUGACUUCUGUGGGCUUAAAUUGUCAUUUGAUAGAGCGUUUGUUCUUCGAAUCUUCAAAAACAGGUAGAGAUGACAGUUUGAAAUCACCAACAUGUGUUGAUCUAGUCAACAAUUGUCCUCAUUUGACUUCAUUGUCUCUAAGAGGGUUUAAGCUCCAUGAUUGCAAAGUUAGAACACUUGUUAAGGGAUUUCGAAAGCUACGAUAUGUUGACUUUUCAACAUCCUACUCAAUCACUGGGAAUUUUCUAAGAAAUCUUGGCAGCACUUCAACCGGAACCUUACUGGAAGUCCUGAUUUUAAGGGACUGUAUGCAUCUCAAAGAGGUGGAGGUUGCUCGGUUUUUUACCGCUGUUCUUGCUGGAGAUUUCAAGUUUCUAAGACAUGUUGACAUAUCCAAUAAGGAAGGAUUAGCUUCUGAAGGUGACUGGUAUAAUAGAAGUUACUCUUCAAGUGUCAUCCCAUUUAAACAGGUUAUGGAAGAAAGGCCGGAUAUCUGUUUACUAGCAGAUUUCCCAUCGGAGGGGGGAAGUUUUAGCGAGAUGGAACAAAUUAUCGAUAGUGACCUCAACAGCGAGAUUGGCCUGCCAUUGCACCAUAAUGGUCAUGCAUCAGAUAGUUCUGUAUUUAUAAGUUCAUCUGAAAGCAGCUACAAUAGCGAUCAAGGCAGUGGUAAUGAGGAUAGCCGUGAUUCCAGCUACGUAAUCUACGAGGAAAGUUCAGAUGAGCUGGACUAUUUUCCCAUCUAGGAAAUGCCUUAAGUAAAGGAAAGUUUGGAGAUCAUGCGCCAAAACAAAAUGUUCUGCAACAAGCUCUUUAUCUAGCUAUCUGAAUCAAUGGUGCCAUUCUAGUCAAGUUGCCAUUCUAGUCAAGUUUUAACUGCCAAUGGCCGCGGAUUUGAAGGAACGCCGAAAACCCCAGGUUCGUGUAUGCCUGUUGCCUGAACUCCGGAAGUUUGUGUAUGGAUAAAUACCUAAAAGCCAGAAUAUAAUGAGCAACAUGUUUCUCUGUCCCUUUCUCUCCUGCGCAAAUUGUCAUCCGCUGUUAUCGGACGGAUGACUCAUGACUGAUGCUUUUCUUUUUUCCUUCUUUAUAUUUUUUUCUUUU